UCCCACCUGACCCCAUGCCGAACUCAGAAGUGAAACGCCGUAGCGCCGAUGGUAGUGUGGGGUCUCCCCAUGCGAGAGUAGGGAACUGCCAGACAU
rnacentral:rRNA from 1 species